rnacentral:rRNA from 1 species
UACGUAGGGGUCGAGCGUUGUCCGGAAUCAUUGGGCGUAGAGCGCGUGUAGGCGGUUCGGUAAGUCGGCUGUAAAAGUCCAGGGCUCAACCCUGGGAUGCCGGUCGAUACUGCCGGACUAGAGUUCGGAAGAGGCGAGUGGAAUUCCCGGUGUAGCGGUGAAAUGCGCAGAUAUCGGGAGGAACACCAAUGGCGAAGGCAGCUCGCUGGGACGUUACUGACGCUGAGACGCGAAAGCGUGGGGAGCAAACAGG